UUGUGGAUAUACGAGAAGGCGCGUGACAGAUGGACCAGUAAUAUGGACUGGGCACCGUGUGGUGAGCGAUAGCAAAGCGAUGCUGAAAGACACUAUAAUGGACAUAAAGCAGCCUGGCCCAAGAGCAUGAUCAACAUGGGCGAUUCCUCCAGUGCUGAUGCAGAGAAGAGCUCUGUUCUGCAGAUGCAUAGCCUGAGAGAGUUUGAACAGGUAGGUGCUUUCUUUCGUUUCCCUCAAAACUAGCGUUUGCAUGCAACUGCAAGCCUGUGAAAGCCAUUUGUCAGGCCUCUGAGUGGUUUUCACUGUGUUGAGAAUGUGGAUCUUUGGCAUUUGCCUGCAGAUACGAUGAUCAAGUAAACUAGUUGGAGGGCUUACUUAAAACACAGAUGUAAAUUUUAUACUUUGUUUUUU
rnacentral:lncRNA from 12 species